rnacentral:rRNA from 1 species
UUGACCUCGAAUCAGGUAGGGAUACCCGCUGAACUUAAGCAUAUCAAUAAGCGGAGGAAAAGAAACCAACAGGGAUUACCUCAGUAACGGCGAGUGAAGCGGUAACAGCUCAAAUUUGAAAUCUGGUCCGUUUACGGGCCCGAGUUGUAAUUUGUAGAAGAUGCUUUGGUGACGAGUCCGGCCUAAGUUCCUUGGAACAGGACGUCAUAGAGGGUGAGAACCCCGUAUGCGGCCGGGUGCUCGAUGCUAUGUAAAGCUCUUUCGACGAGUCGAGUUGUUUGGGAAUGCAGCUCAAAAUGGGUGGUAAAUUUCAUCUAAAGCUAAAUAUUGGCCAGAGACCGAUAGCGCACAAGUAGAGUGAUCGAAAGAUGAAAAGCACUUUGGAAAGAGAGUUAAACAGUACGUGAAAUUGUUGAAAGGGAAGCGCUUGCAACCAGACUUGGGCACUGUGGAUCAUCCGAGGUUCUCCUCGGUGCACUCGGCAGUGCGCAGGCCAGCAUCAGUUUGGGUGGUUGGAUAAAGACUUGUGGAAUGUAGCUCCUUUCGGGGAGUGUUAUAGCCACAGGUGCCAUGCGACCAACCCGGACUGAGGACCGCGCUUCGGCUAGGAUGCUGGCGUAAUGGUUGUAAGCGACCCGUCUUGAAACACGGACCAAGGAGUCUAACAUCUAUGCGAGUGUUUGGGUGUUAAACCCAUACGCGGAAUGAAAGUGAACGUAGGUGAGAACCCAUAAGGGGGCAUCAUCGACCGAUCCGGAGUCUUCGGAUGGAU